AACUUCUGAAUGUUGACCUCGGAUCAGGUAGGAAUACCCGCUGAACUUAAGCAUAUCAAUAAGCGGAGGAAAAGAAACCAACAGGGAUUGCCCUAGUAACGGCGAGUGAAGCGGCAACAGCUCAAAUUUGAAAUCUGGCUCUCGGGCCCGAGUUGUAAUUUGUAGAGGAUGCUUUUGAUGCGGUGCCUUCCGAGUUCCCUGGAACGGGACGCCAUAGAGGGUGAGAGCCCCGUCUGGUUGGAUGCCAAAUCUCUGUAAAGCUCCUUCGACGAGUCGAGUAGUUUGGGAAUGCUGCUCUAAAUGGGAGGUAUAUGUCUUCUAAAGCUAAAUACCGGCCAGAGACCGAUAGCGCACAAGUAGAGUGAUCGAAAGAUGAAAAGCACUUUGAAAAGAGAGUUAAAAAGUACGUGAAAUUGUUGAAAGGGAAGCGUUUAUGACCAGACUUGGGCUUGGUUAAUCAUCUGGGGUUCUCCCCAGUGCACUUUUCCAGUCCAGGCCAGCAUCAGUUUUCGCCGGGGGAUAAAGGCUUCGGGAAUGUGGCUCUCUCCGGGGAGUGUUAUAGCCCGUUGCGUAAUACCCUGGCGGGGACUGAGGUUCGCGCAUCUGCAAGGAUGCUGGCGUAAUGGUCAUCAACGACCCGUCUUGA
rnacentral:rRNA from 1 species